CGGCGGACGGGUGAGUAACGCGUGGGUAACCUGCCUCACACAGGGGGAUAACAGUUGGAAACGGCUGCUAAUACCGCAUAAGCGCACAGUACCGCAUGGUACGGUGUGAAAAACUCCGGUGGUAUGAGAUGGACCCGCGUCUGAUUAGGUAGUUGGUGGGGUAACGGCCUACCAAGCCGACGAUCAGUAGCCGACCUGAGAGGGUGACCGGCCACAUUGGACUGAGACACGGCCCAA
rnacentral:rRNA from 1 species